UCUGACGGAGCACGCCGCGUGAACGAUGAAGGCCUUCGGGUCGUAAAGUUCUGUUGUUAGGGAAGAACAAGUGCUAGUUGAAUAAGCUGGCACCUUGACGGUACCUAACCAGAAAGCCACGGCUAACUACGUGCCAGCAGCCGCGGUAAUACGUAGGUGGCAAGCGUUGUCCGGAAUUAUUGGGCGUAAAGCGCGCGCAGGCGGUUUCUUAAGUCUGAUGUGAAAGCCCCGGCUCAACCGGGGAGGGUCAUUGGAAACUGGGAAACUUGAGUGCAGAAGAGGAAAGUGGAAUUCCAAGUGUAGCGGUGAAAUGCGUAGAGAUUUGGAGGAACACCAGUGGCGAAGGCGACUUUCUGGUCUGUAACUGACGCUGAGGCGCGAAAGCGUGGGGAGCAAACAGGAUUAGAUACCCUGGUAGUCCACGCUGUAAACGAUGAGUGCUAAGUGUUAGAGGGUUUCCGCCCUUUAGUGCUGAAGUUAACGCAUUAAGCACUCCGCCUGGGGAGUACGGUCGCAAGACUGAAACUCAAAGGAAUUGACGGGGGCCCGCACAAGUGGUGGAGCAUGUGGUUUAAUUCGAAGCAACGCGAAGAACCUUACCAGGUCUUGACAUCCUCUGACAACCCUAGAGAUAGGGCUUUCCCUUCGGGGACAGAGUGACAGGUGGUGCAUGGUUGUCGUCAGCUCGUGUCGUGAGAUGUUGGGUUAAGUCCCGCAACGAGCGCAACCCUUGAUCUUAGUUGCCAGCAUUCAGUUGGGCACUCUAAGGUGACUGCCGGUGACAAACCGGAGGAAGGUGGGGAUGACGUCAAAUCAUCAUGCCCCUUAUGACCUGGGCUACACACGUGCUACAAUGGAUAGUACAAAGGGUUGCAAGACCGCGAGGUGGAGCUAAUCCCAUAAAACUAUUCUCAGUUCGGAUUGUAGGCUGCAACUC
rnacentral:rRNA from 1 species